GAAAACGGGUUUGUUUACAAUUUGCGAUAUACGCCGUUAUGAAAAAGUACCCGAGAUUUGCUUACCUCCGAUGUUUGUUUUUGUUUUCGAAUUUUUCAAUCGCGUUCAAAAUGUUUGUGUAAAAACGAAUGAACCGUGUUAAAUUGGUUCCUUUUGGUGUAUGGAAAUAUUGAUCCAGCUUUGUGUUGCCUUGUGUUGGAACCGAUCAAGGGAUUCUACGACAAAUUCAUCCUGCUGAUGGAUUUCAACUCCCUUUACCCCGCAGCAUCAUCCAAGACCAAGAGUACAACAUUUGUUUCGCUAAGUUGCUACCAGCGCCGACGACCGAUGCAGUAGAUGAGAACAUAGCCGCUCAGAUCCUUCAAACAAGUGAAAUGGGAAUAUUGCCCCACUAAAUUCACAAACUCGUCGAGAGCAGAAAAUCACCCGGUCUGUCUCAGGAACAUAGAAUGCAGUACAAUAUUCGCCAGAGGGCACUGAAGCGCUCAUCCCUGUACGGAUGUGCUCAGUACAUGGCCGCUCUGAUCACACUAAAAGGUUAUUUAUGACGACACGACACACAGUAUCAUGAUCAACACCAACAGCAUCGAUUAUGACGAGGUGUUCAAGAUCGGUGUUAGCAUCAAGCAGAUCGUCAUUGAAACAAACUAAUGGGUGAAGCUGGACAUCGACGUAUUGUACAAGUACGAACUGCUGUUGAAGAAAAAAAGUACGCGACCGUUUCGAUAGCCAAGAUUGGGGAAAAAAUCGAAUGCAACCAGGAGUUGAAAAGUUUUGAUGUCAUUCGGAGGAGUUGGUCGAGGCUGACGGUAAUUACUGGAACCGUAACAUUGAAUGAAAUCCUGUCAAACAAGCCGAUUGAUGAGCGGAUAGAUGACCCCAUCUCAUGACCCCACUACAGCAGUUUCUCUUCUGGAAGUAAAGCAAAUAACAAGACCGCUUAAUGACUAUCAGCUACCUAUGACUCUUGCAAUAUGGAUGAAUAAAACAAUGAAUUUAAUACGAAACGAC